rnacentral:tRNA from 1 species
UCCCUGGUGGCUCAGAGGUUAAAGCGUCUGCCUGCAAUGCGGGAGACCCUGGUUCAAUCCCUGGGUCGGGAA